UAACUUACCCCACCGUAAGUCAUGUCUGUGUAAAUACUAAAAGUUGAAUAGAAGAAAAGGUAAGUGGAGCAAAAAAGCGCGUUGUCGCUUCACUUUAAAUGACUUUAGCUCACGUUUUUCGUACAUUUGUUUGGUGCCACGCGCUCAUUAAGUCAACGCAGAUGCGGAGUGUGCGUGUUUCGCUUGUUUUUACUCGUGUUGUGUAGCGGAUUGUCCCCUCAGAGAGGCGGAGACAAGACACUGAGGACUGUGUUCAAAAAUACAAGAACAUGGAGGACGACGGUGAAGAGGAGGAGUGCAGUUUUUACCCGAACUUUGGUCCGUUCGGCAGUGAGAUCAAGGCCAGGAUGCAGCAGCUGGUGGAAGAAAGGACUGAAGUUAAUAUGUGGACGGCUCUGCUGAUCGUGUCUGUGACGGUGACGUCGUUCGUCGGAGUCGUCGUGUUUUUUCUUUACAGAAGCUACAAAGUGUCAAAGGAGAAAGUCCCUCAUUAUCGCUUCAGAAAGAGAGACAAGGUGAUGUUUUAUGGACGAAAGAUCAUGAGAAAGGUUCAGACGUUGUCGUCACCUCCUCCCUCCAACUUCAACGCGUCCUCUCGGCAGAGAGCGAGGAAGAGAACCAAAGUCUUGUCGAUAGCUCGCAAGAUCCUGCGUAUACGGCGGGAACCUCCCACCCUGCAGCCCAAAGAGCCUCCUCCCUGUCUGCUGGAGGCAGACCUGACUGAGUUUGACGUGCAGAACUCGCACCUCCCCUCUGAGGUGCUGUACAUGUUGAAAAAUGUCAGAGUGCUCGGACACUUCGAGAAGCCACUCUUCCUGGAGCUGUGUCGUCACAUGGUGCUGAUUCAGCUGCACCAGGGGGAGGCGCUCUUCCGACCGGGGGACACCGACGACAGCAUUUAUGUGGUGCAAGAUGGACGCCUGGAGCUGUGCAUCCACGAGAGUGACGGUACGGAGGCCGUGGUGAAGGAGGUUUUAACAGGAGACAGCGUCCACAGUCUGCUCAGCAUCAUGGACAUCAUCACUGGUUAUCCCGCGCCUUAUAAGACGGUGUCGGCCAGAGCUGCCGUCGCCUCCACCGUCCUGCGUCUUCCAGCUGCUGCGUUCCAGUCGGUCUUUGACAAAUAUCCUGAAACUCUGGUUCGAGUCAUUCAGAUAAUCAUGGUGCGUCUCCAGAGAGUGACCUUCCUCGCCUUACACAACUACCUCGGUCUGACCACUGAGCUCUUUAACACGGAGAGUCAGGCGAUCUCUCUGGUGUCAGUGGCUCAUGUUCUGGGAGACACUCACACACACAGAGGAAUCCGCAGGCAGCCGUCGCACUCUGACGACCAGAGCUCUGAGAGUGCAGAAAAAUCCAGCUCCUCUGAAACGUCCUCGUCAAAAUUCAGGAAGUCUCGUUCUCUCUCGCUGCCUGUUACAGGUGACACGUCAGUCACCGCCCUCAGCAGAUCAUGUGACCGCGAUGAAGCUGCCAAAGAUGACGCGGCUCCUCACAGUCCUGUGAAGUCCAUUCUGAAGAAGAGCGUCACCGUGCAGCAAACGCCGUCCGCCGUGUACCAGUACAGCGACGCCGGACCAGGAAACAAAGUCAGCGCCAUUUUCCACGCUGCUAAGAAGGAUCUGCUGCAGGUCAUUCAGUUACAGGAUCACACGCUGCUGGAGGGGAGGGUGAAUCUCCGUCAGGUCAAAGCUGGUUCUGUCGUGGCUCAUCAGGGAGACCAGGACGUGAGCGUGGAGUUCGUCAUCUCGGGUCUGCUUCACGUCUACCAGCGCAUGAUCGACCGCGAGGAGGAGACGCUGCUGUUCGUCGCCCACCCGGGGGAGAUGGUGGGUCACCUGGCCGUGCUGACGGGCGAGCCCCUCAUCUUCACCGUGCGAGCUCACAGAGACUGCACCUUCCUGUCCAUCUCCAAGGCUCACUUCUACGAGAUCAUGCGUGAGGAGCCCAGGGUUGUGUUGAACGUCGCUCACACGGUGGUGAGGAGGGUUUCACCGUUUGUGAGACAGAUUGACUUUGCUCUGGACUGGAUGGCCGUGGAGGCCGGGCGAGCCGUCUACAGACAAGGAGACAAGUCGGACAGCACCUUCAUCGUCCUCAGCGGCCGACUGCGUUCUGUCAUUGCAAAGGAUGAUGGGAAGAAGGAGCUGGCCGGAGAGUACGGUCGUGGGGAUUUAAUAGGCGUGGUGGAGGCGCUGACUCACAUGAACCGAGCCACCACGGUCCACGCUGUCAGAGACUCGGAGCUGGCCAAGUUACCUGAAGGAGCUCUGAACUCCAUCAAGAGGAGGUAUCCUCAGGUGGUCACCAGGCUGAUUCACCUGCUGGGACAGAAGAUCCUGGGCAACAUGCAGCAGGUCAACGGACCUCUGGCCGCUCGUAGUCUGGCUAUCAACACUCCCACCAGUAAAUGGGAUGCUGGUAAUCCAGCCUCUAAUCUGUCCACUGUGGCCAUCCUGCCUGUGUCUGAGGAGGUUCCCCUCACUUCCUUCACUCUGGAGCUGCAGCAUGCACUCAGUGGCAUUGGUCCCACUCAGCUCCUGACCAGUGACAUCAUCAAACAGCGACUCGGCUCUGCUGCUCUGGACAGUGUCCACGAGUACCGUCUGUCCAGUUGGCUCGGGCAGCAGGAAGACAUCCAUCGCAUCGUCCUGUACCAGUCGGACUCUGGACUCACUCCCUGGACGCAGCGCUGCAUCCGCCAGGCCGACUGCAUCAUCAUCGUGGGUCUGGGUGAACAGGAGCCCACUGUGGGGGAGUUGGAGCGGAUGUUGGAGAGCAGCGCAGUGCGGGCGCAGAAGCAGCUGGUGCUGCUGCACAGAGAGGACGGACCUCCGCCCAAAGGCACCGCCGAGUGGCUGAACAUGCGCAGCUGGAUCUGCAGACACCACCACCUGUCGUGUCCUCGCAGAGUCUUCUCCAGGAGGAGUUUGCCCAAGCUGCGAGAGUUGUACCAGCGCGUGUUUGAGAAAUGUCCCGAUCGUCACUCCGACUUCUCCCGCUUGGCCAGGAUUCUGACGGGAAACAGCAUCGCCCUCGUACUGGGAGGAGGAGGAGCCAGAGGUUGUUCUCAGGUGGGAAUCCUGCGAGCGCUGAACGAGGCGGGGAUCCCCAUCGACCUGGUGGGAGGGACGUCCAUCGGCUCGUUCAUGGGAGCGCUGUACGCCGACGAGAAGAGCUACAGCCGCACCAGGGUGCGAGCUCGCGAGUGGGCCAUGGACAUGACCUCAUACUUUAAGAAGAUCCUGGAUCUGACCUACCCUGUUACGUCCAUGUUUUCUGGAGCUUCCUUCAACUCUGGCAUCAAGUCCGUCUUCAAGGACAAACAGAUAGAGGACCUGUGGCUGCCGUACUUCAACAUCACGACAGAUAUCACCGCCUCCUCCAUGAGAGUUCACACUGACGGUUCACUGUGGCGAUACGUCCGGGCCAGUAUGUCUCUGUCGGGAUACCUGCCGCCGCUCUGUGACCCUAAAGACGGACAUUUACUCAUGGACGGCGGCUACAUCAACAACCUGCCUGCCGACGUGGCUCGAUCCAUGGGAGCCAAGGUUGUGAUCGCAAUCGAUGUCGGAAGCCGCGAUGAAACAGACCUGACCAACUACGGCGACUCUCUGAACGGCUGGUGGUUACUAUGGAAACGAUUCAACCCUCUGGCUGAGAAAGUCAAGGUUGUGUUUCAGCUCACUGUUGAACGUCCAGGUUCUGAACAUGGCAGAGAUCCAAACACGCCUGGCUUACGUCUGCUGUGUGCGGCAGCUGGAGAACGUCAAAGACAGCGAGUACUGCGAGUACAUCCGACCGCCCAUCGACCACUACGCCACGCUGGAGUUUGGCAAGUUUGACGAGAUUGCCGAAGCUGGUUACCAACACGGGAAGACGCUGUUUGACGUGUGGCAGCGCAGCAGAGUGGUGGACAGCAUGAUGAAGGACCAACAUCAGGAGGAGUUCCACAAAACCAAACCUGGACACGUGGUCACCUGUCCUAACGCCUCCUUCACUGACCUGGCAGAGAUCGUGUCCAGAAUAGAACCUGUGAAAAACGCACUCGUCAAUGAGGAAAUGUCGGAUGAAUAUCAGACGGACUACGACGACGAGGCGGUCGAGAGCGCGAUGUCGGACUUUGAGGCGUUUCAGCCCGGCAGUGAACACACGGAGGGAGAGGAGACGACGGCCGACACGGCUGAGACUGAUGAAGACGUUCACAUCAGAGGUUAACCCUCGAGGAUUAAAUCUCUGACCACUGACUCACACAAACACACACACACACACACUGUGUUCUCCAGUGCAGAAUCCUGCAGCAGAUCAAACUAUGGUUCUCAAACUGUCACGCUCCCUCUGGUGGUACUUGGAGGAAUAUCCGAAAUUCUGUUCUACUGUAUAAACCAGGGUGUGUGAUCGGACCAGAGUGAGUAGAAAAUUAAACUAAAAUUAAAUACUAUUAAUGAUAAUUAGAGUCACCUGAUCUCUCGCUGCAUCUUUAUCUAAUGUCACUCUACCAGUGUGUGAAGUUUAUGUGAGGAAGAGGAGGAUGAUGAGAGAAUAAAUCGGCCUCCUUUAUUUACACCACUGUAUUUUAACGUUGGUGAUCCUGACGUUACUGAGAGAGCGAAGCACUGGAGUCGGGUUACAGAAGUGUGACAUUCACCCAAAAAUGACAAAAAAAGCAGUGUUUUCUGAAUUCACAAGAUAAUUUUUGAUCAAAUAAUAAUUAUUUGCGUUCAGUAUAUAUGAAUUGACCAGAUUAUUUUUGUGGAAAAAACACUUUUUUUCUGAAUUAACUACAUAAUUUUACUGAAAUUUUUUUUGCCCUUUUUCUUUAACUACAUGAAUUUACUUUUUAAAAAAUUG